UAAUACGUAGGGUGCGAGCGUUAAUCGGAAUUACUGGGCGUAAAGCGUGCGCAGGCGGUUUUGUAAGCCAGAUGUGAAAUCCCCGGGCUUAACCUGGGAAUGGCAUUUGGGACUGCAAGGCUCGAGUGCGGCAGAGGAGACUGGAAUUCCUGGUGUAGCAGUGAAAUGCGUAGAUAUCAGGAGGAACACCGAUGGCGAAGGCAGGUCUCUGGGCUGACACUGACGCUCAUGCACGAAAGCGUGGGGAGCAAACAGGAUUAGAUACCCUGGUAGUCCACGCCAUAAACGAUGAGGACUAGACGUUGGAGGGGUAAGCCUUUCAGUGUCGUAGCUAACGCGCUAAGUCCUCCGCCUGGGGAGUACGGCCGCAAGGUUG
rnacentral:rRNA from 1 species